rnacentral:rRNA from 1 species
AGGUUAAGUGAAUAAGGGCGCACGGUGGAUGCCUUGGCACUAGGAGCCGAUGAAGGACGGGACUAACACCGAUAUGCUUCGGGGAGCUGUAAGUAAGCUUUGAUCCGGAGAUUUCCGAAUGGGGGAACCCAGCAUCUUUUGUAGGAUGUUACCUUUAAGUGAAUUCAUAGCUUAUUGGAGGUAGACGCAGAGAACUGAAACAUCUAAGUACCUGCAGGAAGAGAAAGAAAAUUCGAUUCCCUGAGUAGCGGCGAGCGAAACGGGAACAGCCCAAACCAACAAGCUUGCUUGUUGGGGUUGUAGGACUCAAAUGUGGUAGUAAGCAAGAUAGCCGAAUGACUUGGAAAAGUCAGCCAAAGUGGGUGAAAGCCCCGUAGGCAAAAUUUUGUGAGCACCUAUGAGGAUCCUGAGUACGGCGGAACACGAGAAAUUCCGUCGGAAUCUAGGAGGACCAUCUCCUAAGGCUAAAUACUCCCUAGUGACCGAUAGCGAACCAGUACCGUGAGGGAAAGGUGAAAAGCACCCCGGGAGGGGAGUGAAAUAGAACCUGAAACCGUGUGCCUACAACAAGUUAGAGCCCGUUAAUGGGUGAUAGCGUGCCUUUUGUAGAAUGAACCGGCGAGUUACGAUUGCAUGCGAGGUUAAGUUGAAGAGACGGAGCCGUAGCGAAAGCGAGUCUGAAUAGGGCGAUAGAGUAUGUAGUCGUAGACCCGAAACCAUGUGAUCUACCCAUGUCCAGGUUGAAGGUGCGGUAAAACGCACUGGAGGACCGAACCAGGACACGUUGAAAAGUGUUUGGAUGAGGUGUGGGUAGCGGAGAAAUUCCAAACGAACUUGGAGAUAGCUGGUUCUCUCCGAAAUAGCUUUAGGGCUAGCCUCGGAAGUAAGAAUGAUGGAGGUAGAGCACUGUUUGGACUAGGGGCCCAUCUCGGGUUACCGAAUUCAGAUAAACUCCGAAUGCCAUUCAUUUAUAUCCGGGAGUCAGACUGCGAGUGAUAAGAUCCGUAGUCGAAAGGGAAACAGCCCAGACCACCAGCUAAGGUCCCCAAAUGUAUGUUAAGUGGAAAAGGAUGUGGGGUUGCACAGACAACUAGGAUGUUGGCUUAGAAGCAGCCACCAUUUAAAGAGUGCGUAAUAGCUCACUAGUCGAGUGACCCUGCGCCGAAAAUGUACCGGGGCUAAACAUACUACCGAAGCUGUGGAUUGUACUUACGUACAAUGGUAGGAGAGCGUUCUAAGGGCGUUGAAGGUAGAUCGUGAGGACUGCUGGAGCGCUUAGAAGUGAGAAUGCCGGUAUGAGUAGCGAAAGACAGGUGAGAAUCCUGUCCACCGAAUAACUAAGGUUUCCUGGGGAAGGCUCGUCCGCCCAGGGUUAGUCGGGACCUAAGCCGAGGCCGACAGGCGUAGGCGAUGGACAACAGGUUGAUAUUCCUGUACUCGUUGUUUUCGUUUGAGCAAUGGAGGGACGCAGGAGGCUAGGAAAAGCAGACGAAUGGAAAUGUCUGUCUAAGCAGUGAGUUUUGUGAUGAGUCAAAUGCUUGUCACUUUAAGAAUGAGCUGUGAUGGGGAGGUUGAUCUUGAAUCGACCGAGUUUCUGAUGUCACACUGUCAA